rnacentral:tRNA from 1 species
GGCACGAUGGUGAAGAGGAAACACGGCUGUCUGCAAAACAGCUAUGCGAGGGUUCGAUUCCCUCUCGUGCCUCAA